rnacentral:rRNA from 1 species
CAGCAGCCGCGGGAAUACAGAGGGUGCGAGCGUUGUUCGGAAUCACUGGGCGUAAAGGGCGCGUAGGCGGCCUGUUAAGUCGGAUGUGAAAGCCCGGGGCUCAACCCCGGAACUGCAUCCGAGACUGGCAGGCUUGAGACCGGGAGAGGAGGGUGGAAUAUCCAGUGUAGAGGUGAAAUUCGUAGAUAUUGGAUGGAACACCGGUGGCGAAAGCGGCUCUCUGGCCCGGAUCUGACGCUGAGGCGCGAAAGCGUGGGGAGCAAACAGGAUUAGAUACCCCUGUAGUCCCUGUCUCUUAUAC